rnacentral:rRNA from 1 species
AGAGUUUGAUCCUGGCUCAGGACGAACGCUGGCGGCGUGCCUAACACAUGCAAGUCGAACGGAACUGUUUUGAAGGAUUUCUUCGGAAUGAAUUUGAUUUAGUUUAGUGGCGGACGGGUGAGUAACGCGUGAGUAACCUGCCUUCAAGAGGGGGAUAACAUUCUGAAAAGAAUGCUAAUACCGCAUGAUAUAUCGGAACCACAUGGUUUUGAUAUCAAAGAUUUUAUCGCUUGAAGAUGGACUCGCGUCCGAUUAGUUAGUUGGUGAGGUAACGGCUCACCAAGACCGCGAUCGGUAGCCGGACUGAGAGGUUGAACGGCCACAUUGGGACUGAGACACGGCCCAGACUCCUACGGGAGGCAGCAGUGGGGGAUAUUGCGCAAUGGGGGCAACCCUGACGCAGCAACGCCGCGUGAAGGAUGAAGGUUUUCGGAUUGUAAACUUCUUUUAUUAAGGACGAAAAAUGACGGUACUUAAUGAAUAAGCUCCGGCUAACUACGUGCCAGCAGCCGCGGUAAUACGUAGGGAGCAAGCGUUGUCCGGAUUUACUGGGUGUAAAGGGUGCGUAGGCGGCUUUGCAAGUCAGAUGUGAAAUCUAUGGGCUCAACCCAUAAACUGCAUUUGAAACUGUAGAGCUUGAGUGAAGUAGAGGCAGGCGGAAUUCCCCGUGUAGCGGUGAAAUGCGUAGAGAUGGGGAGGAACACCAGUGGCGAAGGCGGCCUGCUGGGCUUUAACUGACGCUGAGGCACGAAAGCGUGGGUAGCAAACAGGAUUAGAUACCCUGGUAGUCCACGCUGUAAACGAUGAUUACUAGGUGUGGGGGGUCUGACCCCUUCCGUGCCGGAGUUAACACAAUAAGUAAUCCACCUGGGGAGUACGGCCGCAAGGUUGAAACUCAAAUGAAUUGACGG